rnacentral:rRNA from 1 species
UACGAAGGACCCAAGCGUUAUCCGGAUUUACUGGUUUUAAAGGGUGCGUAGGCGGGUUAUUAAGUCAGUGGUGAAAGCCUGCAGCUUAACUGCAGAACUGCCAUUGAUACUGAUGAUCUUGAGUAUGAUUGAGGUGGGCGGAAUGUGUCAUGUAGCGGUGAAAUGCUUAGAUAUGACACAGAACACCGAUUGCGAAGGCAGCUCACUAAGCCAUAACUGACGCUGAUGCACGAAAGCGUGGGGAGCAAACAGG